GACGAACGCUGGCGGCGUGCUUAACACAUGCAAGUCGAACGGUGAAGGGAUCAGCUUGCUGGUUCUGGAUGAGUGGCGAACGGGUGAGUAACACGUGAGUAACCUGCCCCCUUCUUCUGGAUAACCGCAUGAAAGUGUGGCUAAUACGGGAUAUUCUGGGUCUGUCGCAUGGCGGGCCCGGGAAAGAUAUUGUUUCGGUGGGGGAUGGGCUCGCGGCCUAUCAGCUUGUUGGUGGGGUGAUGGCCUACCAAGGCGGUGACGGGUAGCCGGCCUGAGAGGGUGGACGGUCACACUGGGACUGAGACACGGCCCAGACUCCUACGGGAGGCAGCAGUGGGGAAUAUUGCACAAUGGGCGCAAGCCUGAUGCAGCGACGCCGCGUGAGGGAUGGAGGCCUUCGGGUUGUAAACCUCUUUCGCCAGUGAAGCAGGCCUGCUUCCUUGUGGGU
rnacentral:rRNA from 1 species